rnacentral:lncRNA from 1 species
UGCCUACAAUAAUAUAGAUAUAUAUAUAGAUAGAUAGAUAAUAUGUAACAUAAUAUUGAGUGAAAGAAGUUGAAUGUAAAAUUAAAUAUACUAUAUGGUUUCCUUUAUAUAAUGCUUAAAACAGUAAAACUAAUACCUGGUAGUGGUAGAAGACAAAAUAGCUGCUACCUUUAAGAGACGGAAGCAUGCAGGGAUUGGAAGAUGGGUCAAGGUGGCACUUCUGGGGUGCUGCUAAUUUUCUAACUCUUGACCUGGGUGAUAGUUACACAGGUAUAUUCUCUCUGGAUAAUUCAUUGAGCUGUGCACUUUUUAAAACUAUGAUUGUGUUUAUCCAAACUAGUGUUUAAUAUUUACUGAACUCUAUGUUAAAUGCUAGAAUUAGAAAAAUGAAUCAGAAACAGUGCUUGGCUUCCAAGAAUUCAGAGUCUAACUGUGGACAAUGACUUAUAGACAAUUCACUAACAUAUUACGAGUGCUAUCAAGGAUUAAUAUACAGAAUAAGAUUAGGACCAGUCCUGCCUCGUGGGAUCAGGGAUUGGUUUUUUUUAAGGAGUCGACCUGUGAAUUGGUCUCGUGAUUUGCCAUUGUGAAAGUUGUCAAGAUCAAAAUGGAGUCAUUUGUGUUAAAAGCCCUGACAAAUAGAGCUGAGGAAGGCCAUGAAUGCAGGGCACUCAUGCAUGAAUGUCUGAUAACAAGAACUACCACAAAAGACUUUGCAAAAACCACAACCUUGUACAAAGGCCCUUGCAACCCUAACACACACAAAAACACUUCUGUGAAGACGUCUGCCUAGCAACUGCCUGUCUAGCCUCAGACUGGCACUAUCCUUGCUAUUAAUCCUUGUAGCCAUGGAUAAUUAUCUCAAAACAAUUAUGUAAUCCUCAUUUUCCUUUAAAAGCCUUUUAAAUUAAUCUCCCUGAAUUCGCACACACUUGACUAUGGCGUACAUAUUCCCAUUACAACGCCCUAUUCCCAAAUAAACAUAAUUGUCUUUUAGAGAGUCUCCCUCUCUGUUUGUUCUUUGGAUUGGCACCUUUCAACAAGUGAAAAAGAGGGAGAGGGAUGUUGUAUUAGUCUGUUCUCGCAUUGCUGUAAAGAAAUACCUGAGACUGGGUAAUUGAUCAAGAAAAGAGGCUUAAUUGGCCCACAGUUGCACAGAGCAUGAUGCUGGCAUCCACUCAGCUUCUGGGGAAGCCUCAGGAAACUUACGAUUAUGGCGGAAGGCAAAGUGGGAGCAGGCAUGUCUUACAUGGCCAGAACAGGAGCAAGAGAGAGAAGGGGGAGGUGCCACACACUUUUAAACAACCAGAUCUCAUGAGCACUCACUAUUGCAACAAAAGCACUAAGGGCCCUGUGGUGUUAAACCAUGAGAAACCACCCCCAUGAUCCAAUCACCUCCUGCCAGGCCCUACCUCCAGCAUUGGGGAUUACAUUUCAACAUGAGAUUUGAGUGGGGACAUGGAGCCAAACCAUAUCAGAUGUUCUACAUAGAAAGUGCAUGAAAUGAACAAAGCUUAAAAAUGCAGGCAUAUCCACUCAGCCACUCAAAAGAUAAUGAGAAAACUCAAUACUUUACAAAUUUUGCAUCAGUGCUAAAGACUGCUGAGAGGAGGGUCUGCCUCCAGUGGACAUGGGUAAAAAUAGAAUCAGCAGAAGUUUUCCUUUUUAAUCCUAAACUCCAUGCCUAGUGCUAUGGUCUGAAUAUUUGCAUCCCUUUUUCUGCAAUAUGUGGAUAGGUUUGUUUUGACAUGUUGGUAAUUUGAAUCCCCUGAAGAGAGGGACCUCAUCAGAGUGUGAGUCUUACCUCGAUCAAAGUCAUGUUCACUGGCUGUCAUACACAUACUUUCAGCGAGUUUUUGGCUGGCUAAGGUAAGGUUUAGCUAGAUUCUUUAGGCUUGGGUAAGGACUGCAUGCUUUGAUUGUAGCAGUUUUGUCAUUAGUCUCUUGGUCACAUGUUACAUUCACAUGUUGAAAUCCUAAGCCCCUGGCCAGGAGAGGUGGCUCACACCUGUAAUCCCAGCACUUUGGGAGGCCAACAUGGGUGGAUCACCUGAGGUCAGGAGUUCGAGACUAGCCUGCCCAACAUGGUGAAACCCUGUCUCUACUGAAAAUACAAAAACUAGCCGGGCAUGGUGGCGCUUGGCUGUAGACCUAGCUACUUGGGAGGCUGAGACAGGAGAAUCGCUUAAACACAGGAGGCGGAGGUUGCAGUGAGCUGAGUUCGCACCACUGCACUGCAGCCUGGCCAACAGAAUGAGACUCCAUCUUAAAAAAAAAAAAAAAAAAAGAAAAGGAAAGAAAAACCCUAAGCCCCAAGGUGACAGUAUGAGGAGGUAGGGCCUUUGGAAGAUAAUUAGAUUACAAGGGUGGAGACCUCAUGAAUGGGAUUAAUGCCCUUAUAAAAGAGAGCUGCCUUCCCCCUUCCACCACAUGAGGACACAGUUAGAAGGUGCCAUCUGUAAACCAGAAAGCAGCCCUCACCAGAUACCAAAUCUGCCAGGGCCUUGAUCUUGGACUUCCCAGCCUCUAGAACUGUAAGCAAUAAACUUCUGUUUUCUAUAAGGCACCCAAAUCAUAGUAUCCUGUCAUAGCAGCUUAAAUUGACUAAGACACCUGGAUCUUAGCUUCUUUAGAGUGGAUUUAUUUUGCAUUCUGUAGUAGCUAAGCACUAACAGAAGUAAAUAUUUAAAUUACAAAAUUGUGCAUAUCUUUAGGGGAAAAAGUGAGCACUUCUGUGUCCCCGUUUACACUCUGCUCUCCAGAUGCUGAUGACGCUUCCCAAAGCACAGCAAGAAACACGCCUACUCCAUGGCUUUCUGAGUUUCUGUUGCCCUGGGACUAGAGUUGGCUUCCUCCACCUGCAUUUCCCCAAGAAUCCUAAUGGCGACACACUGUGUUUUCAACAGUUGAGCUCCCGCCUCAUGUGGAAUCUGUGGGUUCCUGCUAAAUCACCAGAGUGAGGUGUUGGUGCACCUGGUGUGAGCCAUCACAGUGACCCACGCAGGUGCAGAGAGGCAGGGCUUUGCUGCUGCUUGGUUGAUGUGGCCAGUGUUUACUUGACAGCACCAUGCUGUGCUUGCAGGGAACACAUGUGUGGUACAGCAUGCUCUCCCUCUGCCCUGGUCUUCUGCUUCAGAGACAGAACCUUCCCCAGAGCAGGGUUUCCAUCCUGCUUCUCUGUCUACAUUAGGGGAAAGCUUGCUGUUUUUUAUCUCACUCCGGGAACUGCCGAGCCACCGUCGGGGUGGUUUCCCUGAUGGCAUGGGGAUAAGUUCAGGAGACAAUAAACGUCUUGGUAGACAGAAGACUUCCUAAAAUAUGUA